UCCCUGGUGGUUGAGUGUUUAAAACUCUGUGCUCCCAAGGCAGGGGGCCAGGUUCAGUCCCUGGUCAGGGAA
rnacentral:tRNA from 1 species